GGGCGGAUAGUUUAAUUGGUAAAACUUUUUCCUUGUUCAUCCCUUGCCUGCAAAGGCCGAAGAAUUGAGGGUUAUCGUCUCCUAAACGAAUGAUGAGGGUUCGAAUCCCUCUCCGUCCA
rnacentral:tRNA from 1 species